UGGCCCACUGGGCUACAACUUUCAGGCUCUUCAGCAAUCUCUCCGUCCACUUGUAGCGGGUGAGAGGCAGGUGGCCAUGGCGAAAGCGCAUUUGCAGCCUUUAGCGACGGAAAGACACAUCUAGCGCUAGUCAAAAUUUGAAUGAGCAAAGUUAUAAUCAUAGUAAACGUCGCCCCCUUCCGUCACUAAGAUAUGGACUAGAAUCACUAGUCGCUCUCGGCGCUGCCUGCUGAACUGUGCUUCUUGUACAGCAACGCCACAAAGACAGACUCUCCAGCAGCGCUUCUCAGCGGUACUGAACUGUAAUCAGGUGGAGAUUAACAUCUUUACGGAUUCGGGGAUUUUAACGGGGAUGGCAUUGGAAGUCCGCGCGUGUGGUUUCCCUCCUUACAAAAACCAAACGCUUAGAUACUCCUAAAAUGAAACCUCACCACUACUAUUAACGCCAGAAAACAUCUGCAAUCAAAUAGUUAAAAUGAUUAUAUCUCCUCCCGCUAAAAGGCAUCCAAAAGCACUACUAGCUGAUCCACAUGGCCCAGGGUUUGUACUGAAUGACCACGUGCACACAACGCAAAAGGUCAACUUUUCAAAUUAGGAGAGAAAACGCUUUAUGUGAAAUACUUGAACCUCCUCACAGUUAAAUUGAGCAUGCAUAGCAAUGAGGCGCUAUCUCCGGGCGACAGUCAGAGCGGGCGUGGUAACGUACACUUGACGGUUUUGUUUUACGAGCUGAACUAAUGAACAGCAAUUUGGAGAAUAAAGUAAACAAAUAACAGCGCAGUUUACUUUGGGGAAAGGCGUUUCUAUGAAGUUUGGAUGCUGGUGGGUUAGGAGAGGAUUUCCUAUUGCAGUUCUGAACGAAUUCCCACUUCCCCUCUCCGCUGUUCUACAGUGGCGAAGGCUAGACGCUACCUUCUGCUAAUAGGCUACACGCACAAAAGAAACUACGCUGGGCAUUAAACAGCUGGGGCAAAAGGUUCAGCCCCAGGCCCCUAGUUGGUCAGCUUGGCUUUUGUAAACUUCAGCUCGUUUGCAGGUGGAUUUGGCCAUGACAAUGGGCACCUGCCAUUUGCCACUGUCAAGAGGACAGGAUACUGGGCUUGAUGGAUCUUUGGUCUGAUGCAGUAUGGCCGUUCUUAAGAAUUGGACCCUCUGAGGAGAGCCCCAAUGAACGGGAUACUGCUAAUCCAUGCAGUGUCCAGGGGGGAAGAUGCAUGAUCACUGGGGUGUGUCCUGGCAGGCAAUCCUGCACUUGUUUCGUACCCGCACACUUCGCUUUGACUCUGGCUGAAAUCUGGGGGCUAACAAGUCAUCUCUUCCCAAUACCCUCUGCUAAAUACCUUCACAUUAUACUGUACUAGCAUAGCAUUAUGGCUACUCCAUAAAUCAGAGGAUUAUGUCACAAACGCUUGAAAUGAAGUGGAGAGAAAAUAUCAUGGGAUCUUCACCUGAAAUAGAAGAUAACGUCUUUUCAGUAAUAUUUGUGUUCCUGAUCCUUAUCCUCUCAAGGAAAACACCAAUUGACUUCAAUCAGUGCAGUAGAAUCCCUGCUAAAUUAGCCCAGAAUAAGGAGUAUGGAUUAAAC